rnacentral:lncRNA from 1 species
GCAGAGGAUAUCUCCUAUAUGCUGGGGAAAAUGAGGAGUCAAGGUAAAUGAAACAUCAGUUUAAGCAUUUCCAACACAAUUUUCUGACACUUCUUAGUUUAACAGAAAAUGAUUAUAUUUCUUAAUAAAACAGCAAAUGUUAAUGAUUCUGCAAACAAAAUCAUUAUAUGGUUAAACUAAAGAAAAGAAGACUAAUUCCGCAUGUUUUAUGUUAGAAUCCAGCAUUAUACAUGGGAAUAAUACUGCAUAGAAUCUUUUCUUUCAACCAAAAUAUAUUAAUUAUAGAAUAUUAUGCUUAAUCUUACCUUAGGGAGAUCACAUGAGCCACAUUCAAAGUCUCAGUUCCUUUCUAGAGUUUGUUAUAGUAUAUUUCUUGGGAUCCAAUCAUCCACUAAAUGUGAAAUGAAGUAUAUUAAAAUAUGCAAAUAUUCUAAAGAGAUGUAUAAUAAUCUGAACUAUAAAACAUAGUUAUAAAAAUAAGAUAUUUAGUUCUGGGCAGUAUUUUGGGUAGCAAAAGCUAGAUUCUUACAGAUAUAUCAAAAUAUGAGAAAAAAAUUAAUUUUCAAAAUUGCUAACAGUGUUGAACAGAGAUGACAGUUUAUUACUAAGUUUUUAAAUUUUAUGUUCUGCUUUGAGUUGUAUGUCUUAAUUUCCAAAAUUAACACUAUUCAUCAGGCUGAUGAGCCCAAAAUAAAUGAUAAUACAGUUAUAGUAUGUGUCAAAUACACAAUAGUUAAUUGUUAAUUAAAAAAAUAAGCAGUACACCAUUAUAAUUUUUAAUGAUAUAGACAUGCAUCUUUGGUUUUACCUUUAGAUUUUGACAGUAUCAUAAAUAAGAACAGGAUUGUGCAGGUACUCAUAGGGCUUUUCCAUGCAGGAGUAUCUAUGGGUACUUGAGGCGUAUCCAUUCUCAAUCAAUAUCCCACAUCCAGGCCCGCAAUUCCUUACUCCAGUCCUUCAUGCUUGGUGCUACUUUCUCCAUUUAGUCUUCUUUCAAACUCUAAAUAUUCCCAUCAGGAAAAUUUAUUCAUCCCUAAUAUUUGGGGGUAACAUUUUAUCAGCUCACAGUCUUUAACUGUAGCAAAAUAGACUGAGAAAACCAUGGACCUCUUGGAAGGGGCCAAGGAACAGGAAGGAGAAGCAUGCAAAGAGGAGAAAUUUGGGAUUUCAAAGACUAAUACCUUUCACAGUUUUCCUGAGGACAGGUCCAGAUUACAUAUCCAGCAUAUAAAGCAGAGUUAGAAUAAGAGGAAUGUCAGGCUGUCAGAUAUAGACAAAGAAUGGCUCAAAGAACAGAGUGAUGAAGGCUUUGGACAGAAAUAUAAGGAGUAAGGUCAGAGAGAGGGAGGCAAUGUGAAUAGACGUGGAGGAUGCAUUUAAAAAUGAAACUGGGAGUUCCCACUAUGGCGCAGUGGAAACGAAUCCAACUAGGAACCAUGAAGUUGUGGGUUGAAUCCCUGGCCUCACUCAGUGGGUUAAGGAUCUGGAGUUGCCUUGAGUUGUAGAUUACAGACAUGGCUUGGAUUCUUCAUUGCUGUGGCUGUGGUGUAGGCCAGCAGCUGUAGCUCCAAUUCAACCCUUAGCCUGGGAACCUCCAUAUGCCGUGGGUGUGAACCACCCCCCAAAAAAAAAGAAAAAAGAAAAAUGAAACUGACUGGAGUUCCCUGGUGAUUCAGCAGGUUAAGAAUCCAACAUUAUUAUUGCUGUGGCUUGGGUUAGAUCCCUGGCCUGGGAACUUUCACAUGCCACAGGUGGGACCAAAAAAUUUUUUUUCUAAUUUUAAAAAUUAAACUGAUCAAACUAGAUUAUGCACAAUAGUAGCAAGGAGAGAAGAGGAAAAUUAUAGUACAAGAUGCUUUUUGUAGAGGCGCAUAAUCUAAAAAAUGAAAAUAAAAUGUUUAGGUCAAGAAAGUUUGAAAAGGAAUUACAAUAACUAUAUAAACAAAUAUUCACCACAUGCUCCUCUUGCUUUCUCUUCUUUCCUUCACAGUGACUGUGGUUACAACAUGGCUUCUCUGUCCACUUUCUCCCUCCUGGUUAUGUGGAUUCACAGUGUGUACAUUAGUAUAUAGAGUAAAUUUUCCUUGGAUGUACUCCAGCAAGCAAGUUCCUAUUUCAAACUGCUUCUGUUCAUACUCACUCUCCACCACUUUCUCAUUCUACAAUUUUAGCUAACUUAUUUAACAUCCUAACCACUCAGUUUCCUCUCCUGUAAAAUAGGUAUAAUAUUCACAGUAAUAAUAUGGUUUUUAUAGGAUGGCUAAGAGGCUCAAAUGACAUAAACUAUGUAAGCAAUGUCCUAAAACAUAGAAAGCAUUAGUGAACAUUUUUAUUGGUAUGCUGACUAGUCUUAGAAAAAGAAGAGUCAAGUUAAGAGUCAUCAUAUCUAUUACAUUGCACAAGGGCCAAGUUUGGAAAUAAGCAUUUUAGAAUUGCUUCCAUUUUCUCUAAUAAUCUUACUUCAAGCCCAUGCAUAUGCACACAUUCAUACAUACAUGCCAUUAAUUUAAUGAUUUAUGGUUUUCUAAGUGUUUUCACAUAGAUUAUUUCAUCUGUUCUAACCCAUAAUGAUUGGUGACUUUCCCAUGGUGUGUAUGAAUCAAGGUCUGAUGAAUGAUAUCCAGCCCCAUUUCCAUCACUCUGUCUCUCACAGCAUGGAGGUGGGCACCUAUUCACAGAAACCCAGGACUGGAAAGAACAGUAUUUAAUAUGCUAUGUCUUCUGUAUUUGAUCAUCCAGUGAAUCGCCAUAUGAUUUGAAAUCUAAAAAAUUAUUUUAUGUACCACUAAGAAGAAGAAAAUCCACAUUUUUACUGUGGCUGCAAGACACUGUCAGUUUUAACAGGCAUCUUACUUCAGAGAUAUUAAAGUUGAAAAAAAUUUAAUCUUAAGAUUAAUGACAUUUGGAGUUUAUAAUUAUAGUAGGUAUUUCAUUUACAUUUUCGGGAAAUCUGCUCUGUGUAUUAUAACGCAGUUGGACUCUGAGUUUAAUGUGAACCGAAAUCUCCUAGAAUGGUUGCUGAAAAUCGAGAUGCCAGGAUAUUGGCACCAGUGGUUUUGAUUCAGUAGAGCUGGGGGAAAGGAGAGGACAUUAGUUUUUAAAAAAGCCACUUAAAUAAUCCUGACAUUUGUGGUCAAAACAGCCGCAAUUUGGUCAAGAUUGGUGUCAUGGAAAGAAUAUAAGUUCAAACCCUGGUUUUUACCACUAGUAGAGCUGUGUGACCUUGAGUAGCUGGUUAGAAAGCUUGUACCUUUGUGCUCCGGGAGACACUGUAGCGCAGUUGGUGAAACUGUCAGGUUCUUCACUACAUAAUCUCCCUAGGCUCCUUAUCAGUAAAAGGGGGUUAUCUAAUCAAUGAUUUCAUAUAGGUAAAACACGUGGAACACUGCUGGCCUGUAACAAGCACCACAAAAGUUUUUGCUCAUCUGCAGAAAUGGGAUAGUAAUAACUGUACUCACCUCAGAACACCAUGAUGAAUAAAUGAGGCAAUGCAUCUCAAGGAUCUGGCAGGGAGAAGAGACUUUUAAAAAACAUUGGCUUAAUUAAGUUACCUCUUCCCAAACAAGAUCUUUAAAACUUCUUUUCAGAACUAAACCUUAUUUCCUUUUCCUUGUUUUAUCUUGGAGAUAGACAAGGAAGGAUUUUCUAUAAUAUUUUAAUGUUCUUAUUUAUUUGACAUGAAAUAUAUUAGCACCCCCCCAAAUGAAGUAAGCCUCUUAACAUUAUUGUAUAAUGUAAAUUUUUUUGAAUAAUCAUGUUUAUUCUAGAAUCAGCAAAUAUUAGAAAAAUUAGACAAUUGUUAAUAAGCACAAGUUUGUCAUUUUUUAACUUACCAUAAUCUUUACAUAUGUGUUUAUAUUCUAGACAGAGAUGUUGUUCACUAUUUAAAAUUGAACUUUUCCUUUGAGAUUAUAGAUUCACUUGUAGUCGUAAGAGAUAAUGUAGAGAGAGCUUGUGUAUACUUUACUCAGUUUCCCCCAAUGAUAACACCAUGUAUUUAUAUGUGUGUAUUUAGUUCUGCAUAUUUUUACCACAUCUGUAUGUAUUCAGCACCACAGACAAGAUACACAGUUCAGUGUUACCCUUUUAUAACCACAUCCCUCCUGCCUCACCUCCUCCAACCCAUCCUAUAAUCUAGCAACAAUCUAUAUCUGUUCUCCAUUUCUACAAUUUUGUCAUUUCAAGAAUUUAUAGAGAUGCUAUCAUACAUCAUAUAAAUUUGGAAAACUGCCUUUUUGCAUUCAGCAUAAAAUUCCGUGGAGGUUUAUCCCAGUUGUGACAUGUAUCAGAAUUCUGUACCUUUAUGUUGCAGAGCAGUAUUGCAUAUUAUGAAUGUACUACAGUUUGUAUAGCCGUUCACUCAUUGAAGAGCACUGAGUUGUUUCCAGGGUGGGGCUAUUACAAAUAAAGCUGCUUUGAACAU